GGGAUAGAAAAUAAUUACAUAUAUUUGGUCUGAGGUCUUUGAAACUAUAUCUGACAAAGGCUCUUCUCCACUCACAGAUGCAGACUGAAUUCGCUGGAAUGAUAACAGCAUAGCUAAAGGGUUUGCAACUCAAUUACCCAUCAGCAAAGGACUAAUACUACAGUGAAAUUGUACUAUGGCGCUCUUUGUUGGGGAAGAUGAGACUGGAAACUUAAUCUCAGCCAUUGAAUAUGCACCUGCUUCUCAGAUUGGCAAGGCAACAAUUUACUGUGAAGAAUCAGUUGUUUUGAAUGGCUAA
rnacentral:lncRNA from 1 species